GACGAACGCUGGCGGCGUGCCUAAUACAUGCAAGUAGAACGCUGAAGCUUGGUGCUUGCCCCGAGCGGAUGAGUUGCGAACGGGUGAGUAACGCGUAGGUAACCUGCCUGGUAGCGGGGGAUAACUAUUGGAAACGAUAGCUAAUACCGCAUAAGAGUAGAUGUUGCAUGACAUUUGCUUAAAAGGUGCAAUUGCAUCACUACCAGAUGGACCUGCGUUGUAUUAGCUAGUUGGUGAGGUAACGGCUCACCAAGGCAACGAUACAUAGCCGACCUGAGAGGGUGAUCGGCCACACUGGGACUGAGACACGGCCCAGACUCCUACGGGAGGCAGCAGUAGGGAAUCUUCGGCAAUGGACGGAAGUCUGACCGAGCAACGCCGCGUGAGGGAAGAAGGUUUUCGGAUCGUAAAGGUCGGUUGUAAGAGAAGAACGAGUGUGAGAGUGGAAAGUUCACACUGUGACGGUAUCUUACCAGAAAGGGACGGCUAACUACGUG
rnacentral:rRNA from 1 species